AUUGAACGCUGGCGGCAGGCCUAACACAUGCAAGUCGAACGAGUGGCGGACGGGAGAGUAAUGUCUGGGCAACUGCCUGAUGGAGGGGUAUAACUACUGGAAACGGUAGCUAAUACCGCCUACCACCGGCUGUGCCCAUAUGGGAUUAGCUAGUAGGGGGGGUAAAGGCUCACCUAGGCGACGAUCCCUAGCUGGUCUGAGAGGAGGACCAGCCACACUGGAACUGAGACACGGUCCAGACUCCUACGGGAGGCAGCAGUGGGGAAUAUUGCACAAUGGGCGAAAGCCUGAUGCAGCCAUGUCGCGUGUAUGAAGAAGGCCUUCGGGUUGUAAAGUACUUUCAGCAGGGAGGCGGUACCCGCAGAAGAAGCACCGGCUAACUCCGUGCCAGCCGCCGCGGUAAUUC
rnacentral:rRNA from 1 species